GCGAACGCUGGCGGCAGGCCUAACACAUGCAAGUCGAGCGCCCCGCAAGGGGAGCGGCAGACGGGAGAGUAACACGUGGGAACGUACCCUUCAGUUCGGAACAACCAAGGGAAACUUUGGCUAAUACCGAAUACGUCCGUAAGGAGAAAGAUUUAUCGCUGAAGGAUCGGCCCGCGUCUGAUUAGCUAGUUGGUGGGGUAAUGGCCCACCAAGGCGACGAUCAGUAGCUGGUCUGAGAGGAUGAUCAGCCUCACUGGGACUGAGACACGGCCCAGACUCCUACGGGAGGCAGCAGUGGGGAAUAUUGGACAAUGGGCGCAAGCCUGAUCCAGCCAUGCCGCGUGGAUGAUGAAGGCCCUAGGGUUGUAAAGUCCUUUCGGCGGGGAAGAUAAUGACGGUACCCGCAGAAGAAGCCCCGGCUAACUUCGU
rnacentral:rRNA from 1 species